UGCCCCUUCUCUUGCUCACUCUCAGAAAACAGCAGGCAGCAAGAAGGAAGAAGAUAAAGGCAAGCUUCUUGGUAAUCCAGAAAUGGAAUAAGCAAUCGUUGGGGAAGCAGCCUCUAACGUUUGAGGGUCAAUCCAGAUGGAGAGAAGAUAUAGGAGAAAGAGCCGAAUGUGACCCAACCACAGGCCGCCUCUUGGUAAAAGACGCCUUCCCCACUCCAUCCUGUGCUCAGAAAACUGGAAGCAUUCACACUGAGGUAUAAAAGAUGAACAAUAUCCAACAUUCUGAUCCCCUCAUAGGAUCAAAACACAGCUAAAGGAAUGACAGCCGGAUGGUGGACACAUUAUUUGGCAACAUGGCAUAUGCUGAAUAUAUAGUCCAGCAUUAGGAAGACAUGGAUCCAGAAGUAUUGAAAAAAUGACCAGUGUGUGUAAAGGAGACUCCAAGAUUGACUACCAGACUUCUAGAAUGAUGUAACCAUACCUAUAUAGAUUGGCUCAACUUU